rnacentral:misc_RNA from 1 species
UCCGGUUUGUCACCGGCAGUCACCUUAGAGUGCCCAACUUAAUGCUGGCAACUAAGAUCAAGGGUUGCGCUCGUUGCGGGACUUAACCCAACAUCUCACGACACGAGCUGACGACAACCAUGCACCACCUGUCACUCUGUCCCCGAAGGGAACUCGGUAUCUCUACCGAUUGCAGAGGAUGUCAAGACCUGGUAAGGUUCUUCGCGUUGCGUCGAAUUAAACCACAUGCUCCACCGCUUGUGCGGGCCCCCGUCAAUUCUUUUGAGUUUCAGCCUUGCGGCCGUACUCCCCAGGCGGAGUGCUUAAUGCGUUAACUUCAGCACUAAGGGGCGGAAACCCCCUAACACCUAGCACUCAUCGUUUACGGCGUGGACUAC